UACGGAGGGUGCGAGCGUUUGUCCGGAAUCACUGGGCGUAAAGGGCGCGUAGGCGGCCUGAUAAGUAGGGGGUGAAAUCCUGCGGCUUAACCGCAGGGCUGCCUUCUAAACUGUCAGGCUAGAGCACGGUAGAGGCAGAUGGAAUUCCCGGUGUAGCGGUGGAAUGCGUAGAGAUCGGGAAGAACAUCAGUGGCGAAGGCGGUCUGCUGGGCCGUUGCUGACGCUGAGGCGCGACAGCGGUGGGGAGCAAACAGG
rnacentral:rRNA from 1 species